rnacentral:rRNA from 1 species
GCAGUCGAGCGAAUCUUUAGGAGCUUGCUCCUGAAGGUUAGCGGCGGACGGGUGAGUAACACGUGGGCAACCUGCCUGUAAGACUGGGAUAACUUCGGGAAACCGGAGCUAAUACCGGAUAAUCCUUUUCCUCACAUGAGGGAAAGCUGAAAGACGGUUUCGGCUGUCACUUACAGAUGGGCCCGCGGCGCAUUAGCUAGUUGGUGAGGUAACGGCUCACCAAGGCGACGAUGCGUAGCCGACCUGAGAGGGUGAUCGGCCACACUGGGACUGAGACACGGCCCAGACUCCUACGGGAGGCAGCAGUAGGGAAUCUUCCGCAAUGGACGAAAGUCUGACGGAGCAACGCCGCGUGAGCGAAGAAGGCCUUCGGGUCGUAAAGCUCUGUUGUUAGGG